AAAGAUUUAUCCCGUAGAAUGGACUGCGCCCAUCCAGUUUGUGUGAAGUAAUGGCCCACCAGACUAUUACAGGUACGGGUUUCUGAGAAGGAGUAGCCCGGAGAUUGGUACUGAGACACGGACCCAGCCCCUAUGGGGCGCAGCAGGCGAGAAACUUUGCAAUGUGCGAAAGCACGACAAGGUUAAUCCGAGUGGUUUCUGUUAAAGAAACCUUUUGUCAGUCCUAGAAACACUGAUGAAUAAGGGGUGGGCAAGUUCUGGUGUCAGCCGCCGCGGUAAAACCAGCACCUCAAGUGGUCAGGAUGAUUAUUGGGCCUAAAGCAUCCGUAGCCGGCUCUGUAAGUUUUCGGUUAAAUCUGUACGCUCAACGUACAGGCUGCCGGGAAUACUGCAGAGCUAGGGAGUGGGAGAGGUAGACGGUACUCGGUAGGAAGGGGUAAAAUCCUUUGAUCUAUUGAUGACCACCUGUGGCGAAGGCGGUCUACCAGAACACGUCCGACGGUGAGGGAUGAAAGCUGGGGGAGCAAACCGGAUUAGAUAUCCCGGGUAGUCCUCAGCUGUAAACUAUGCAAACUCAGUGAUGCAUUGGCUUGUGGCCAAUGCAGUGCUGCAGGGAAGCCGUUAAGUUUGCCGCCUGGGAAGUACGUACGCAAGUAUGAAACUCAAAUGAAUUGACGG
rnacentral:rRNA from 1 species